AGGUUACUGCUAUCGAGGUUCGACUAAGCCAUGCGAGUCGAAUGUAGCAAUACAUGGCGUACUGCUCAGUAACACGUGGACAACCUACCCUUAGGCCUGGGAUAACCCCGGGAAACUGGGAAUAAUACCGGAUAUCUCGCGAAUGCUGGAAUGCGUCGCGAUAGAAAGCUCCGGCGCCUAAGGAUGGGUCUGCGGCCUAUCAGGGUAGUAGUGGGUGUAACGUACCUACUAGCCUACGACGGGUACGGGUUGUGAGAUCAAGAGCCCGGAGAUGGAUUCUGAGACACGAAUCCAGGCCCUACGGGGUGCAGCAGGCGCGAAAACUUUACAAUGCUGGAAACAGCGAUAAGGGGACCUCGAGUGCCAGGAUACAAUCCUGGCUGUCGUAAUGCCUAAAAAGCAUUGCAUAGCAAGGGCCGGGCAAGACCGGUGCCAGCCGCCGCGGUAACACCGGCGGCUCGAGUGGUAACCGCUAUUAUUGGGUCUAAAGGGUCUGUAGCCGGCUGACUAAGUCUCUUGGGAAAUCUGACAGCUUAACUGUCAGGCUUUCAGGAGAUACUGAUCGGCUCGAGACCGGGAGAGGUGAGAGGUACCUCAGGGGUAGGGGUGAAAUCUUGUAAUCCUUGAGGGACCACCAGUGGCGAAGGCGUCUCACCAGAACGGAUCUGACGGCAAGGGACGAAAGCUAGGGGCACGAACCGGAUUAGAUACCCGGGUAGUCCUAGCCGUAAACGAUACUCGCUAGGUGUCGGCCACGGUGCGACCGUGGUCGGUGCCGUAGGGAAGCCGUGAAGCGAGCCACCUGGGAAGUACGGCCGCAAGGCUGAAACUUAA
rnacentral:rRNA from 1 species